AGGGCGCAGGUGUAAAGACGGCGACGUCAAAGCCGAGCGCUACUAAUUGCCCGAGAGCUUUC
rnacentral:rRNA from 1 species